rnacentral:lncRNA from 10 species
CUGUCUGGAGGGUUGGGUGGUGGCCGUGCCUCAGGCUGACCCGUCGGAACUCCACGGGGCUCAGUUCUUCACAUGAGUCCUCCCUGGUCUUCACCCCCAUAGCACCAACCAGGUGUUUACCAGUCAAGUUGGCUGGGACAGUGGCAGUGCAAUACUCGUCCCACUGGGAAGCAGACCAAGAAUGCAGAACUUCUCAGGAUCCCUGAUCUCUCUCUCUCAGGUUAGUCACACCACCAUAUAUGAGCAUUUCCGAAGAGUUUAGGACCGAGACACGCAGAGGACGACCACAUGAGGACACAGGGAGAAGACGCCGUCUGCCAGCCACAGAGAGAGAC